CGUUCUGUAAGCCUGCGAAGGUGUGCUGUGAGGCAUGCUGGAGGUAUCAGAAGUGCGAAUGCUGACAUAAGUAACGAUAAAGCGGGUGAAAAGCCCGCUCGCCGGAAGACCAAGGGUUCCUGUCCAACGUUAAUCGGGGCAGGGUGAGUCGACCCCUAAGGCGAGGCCGAAAGGCGUAGUCGAUGGGAAACAGGUUAAUAUUCCUGUACUUGGUGUUACUGCGAAGGGGGGACGGAGAAGGCUAUGUUGGCCGGGCGACGGUUGUCCCGGUU
rnacentral:rRNA from 1 species